rnacentral:rRNA from 1 species
AUUGAACGCUGGCGGCAGGCCUAACACAUGCAAGUCGAACGAGUGGCGGACGGGUGAGUAAUGUCUGGGAAACUGACUGAUGGAGGGGGAUAACUACUGGACACGGUUGCUAAUACCGCAUACCAUCAGAUGUGCCCAGAUGGGAUUAGCUAGUGGGGGGGGUAACGGCUCACCAGGGCGACGACCCCUAGCUGGUCUGAGAGGAUGACCAGCCACACUGGAACUGAGACACGGUCCAGACUCCUACGGGAGGCAGCAGUGGGGAAUAUUGCACAAUGGGCGCAAGCCUGAUGCAGCCAUGCCGCGUGUAUGAAGAAGGCCUUCGGGUUGUAAAGCACUUUCAGCUGGGAGGCGUUACCCGCAGAAGAAGCACCGGCUAACUCCGUGCCAGCAGCCGCGGUAAUAC